GAUGAACGCUGGCGGCGUGCCUAAUACAUGCCAGUCGAGCGAACGGACGAGAAGCUUGCUUCUCUGAUGUUAGCGGCGGACGGGUGAGUAACACGUGGAUAACCUACCUAUAAGACUGGGAUAACUUCGGGAAACCGGAGCUAAUACCGGAUAAUAUUUUGAACCGCAUGGUUCAAUAGUGAAAGACGGUCUUGCUGUCACUUAUAGAUGGAUCCGCGCUGCAUUAGCUAGUUGGUAAGGUAACGGCUUACCAAGGCAACGAUGCAUAGCCGACCUGAGAGGGUGAUCGGCCACACUGGAACUGAGACACGGUCCAGACUCCUACGGGAGGCAGCAGUAGGGAAUCUUCCGCAAUGGGCGAAAGCCUGACGGAGCAACGCCGCGUGAGUGAUGAAGGUCUUCGGAUCGUAAAACUCUGUUAUUAGGGAAGAACAUAUGUGUAAGUAACUGUGCACGUCUUGACGGUACCUAAUCAGAAAGCCACGGCUAACUACGUG
rnacentral:rRNA from 1 species